UGGUCGGAAUAGUUGCAAAUU
rnacentral:miRNA from 1 species